CUCCCCCUCCUCCUCCUCUCUCUCUCCCCCACCCCCUCCCUUUAACUGCUCUUUGUGGAUUCUUCUUUUCGACCCUUCCACAAAACCCUGAGACCCCGGCGACGAAGAAGAAACCAAGAAGUUUCGCAAAUUUUUAGUAGUCCAAGAAUGGAGAAAUGGGAACCGAUAAAGAGACGCACCUGCAUGUCGACGAGGCGAAGUUAGCAGUUAUCUUUUUCUUCUGUUAGGGUUUCUUCCAAGAAUUCGUCUUCUGGAAGUUGGGGGGACCACAAAAGGAAGAAUUUUUUUUAAUAUAGAUAUUACCAGAUCCAUAUUCUUGAUGUGGUGGAGCUUGGAUUUGGAAUGUUAGCCCUUCCAGGAUGAAAUUCUGGAUCAGGCUGCUUUUGAUCUGCAUUGAUCACUUGGAGCUAUAUGGAUGUUGAGCCUGUUCACCUAAGAGGCAAAGUGGCUUGGAGUUUUUUUUUCCUUUGUGUUUUGGGAGAGGACAUCUUAUAAAAUACAUAAGAGGAAACAUGUCAAGUUGAAAAGGUUCCAAGAUUGGAGUUCAAUGCAAUCCCUGAGGUCUGAGAGGCUAUUUUCCAGAAGAAAUAAUACUUUUGAUUCAGUAACUAAAUUUAUCUGGAGAGUUUGAACUGGACUUUCUGUAGUUCCUAGCAGCAUUAUCUGCCAUCAUUCUGUAAAAGAAUCUUCUCUGGAAGAGAUGCCGUUUAGGAAGAAGGUACUUGAUCCUCAAGGAUCUUUCCUUCAAAGGUAGAAUAAAAUUUUUGUUCUGUCUUGUGUGAUUGCAGUAUCCAUGGACCCCAUGUUCUUUUAUGUCCCAGUGGUCAAUCAUGAUGAUAAAUGCAUUAAUUUGGAUGAUAAGUUGGAAACUACUGCAAGUGCCUUGCAAUCCUUCACUGACAUCCUUUAUUACUCCAUAUCAUAUUUCAAUGACUGGUUUCAUUGCUCCAUCAUCUUGAUUUUUUGGGAGGUAGCAGACUCAUCUUUGGUGGUGCAUCUAUUACUUGUACAGCAUGCUGGACCUUUUUUGAUCAAAUGGAUUUAUUAAAAUUGUAUGUGCUCCAACUUAAUUGAAUAACACCUUUGUAUAUGGAAGUCACAAGAUCUGCUGGCAUAAUUACCGAAACUGCAUGGGCUGGGGCUGACCCUUCCUUCACAAGAUCUGCAUAAGUCCAAAAGUGUUGGCACUUAUAUCCUCCACAGCUGUUUAAUAUUAAUAUUUCCUUUCUAACAAUGUGAUUCUUUGUUACAAUUAAUUCAUCAUCAUUAAUUAUGGCGGACAAUGUUGAAUAUAUAUCAUCAUUAAUUUUGGUUUAGAGAUUUGGUUUGACAGUUUUUUGUGUAGGAGACGUUGGUUGGAUAUUGAUUGUCAGACAUAUGGAACCUCUAGCUUCAACUAUUCCUGCCUGUUACUAUUGUCAUAUCAGCCUCAUUUUAUUCCUGGUGAUUAUUGCCUAGUAGGAAUGCUUAUACAGUGGUGUGCAAACUGUUUUUAACUUGUACGAAGGAAGGAAAUCAUCAAAAAUAAAUUAUUAUCAGCAAUGACAGAAGAACUAAUUUGAAUAAGCACAUAAUAGAAGAGUUAAACCAGCAUGGGACAAAGUAACCAACUAUGAAUCUUUUUCCCCAAUAUACAACAAGAUUAUGAAGGGACCACGAAGCCAUGUUGUAAGGGAUUAAGAGUUGAGAUCAGUGUUACCUGAACACUUAAAAUUUUGCAUUAUUUUUAAUGUGUUGGAGUUGGACACUUGGGACAUUCAAGACACUUCUUGACUACCAUCAACUCAUGAUGCCGUCAUUGUUCUCUUGGCCAAAACCUGAAAACAAGCAUUUUUUUUGGGAGCUUAUUUGCUGCGUUCGUUUCCAUAUCUGGCUUGGUCAUAUUUUCACUUCUUAUUGGCAAUUUGCAGUCAUGAAUACUCUAUUUUGUGAAUUACACCUCAAUGUUCUGGUUAGAGCCUACCUAUUAUGAGUCUUCCGAAAAAUUUCAGGAGACUGUCUGUGAAAUAAUGGGCCUCUUAUAUUUCAAUAUUUCUUAACCAAGGUCAUGCAUGGUGCUGCUUUGAACAAAAAUUAUGGAUUGUUCCUUACUAGUAACCUGCAAGGAUGGUUUACUUUCAAUGAACCAUGUGCUGCUUCCAUAGACAUACCUGCAGUCUGCCACUGUGAGAAUAGAAGAAAUGCGAGUGAAAAGAAUGGUCUAGAGCAUUUGAGGGGAAUCUAUGUCUCAUGAGCAAUACAGAUGGCAAGAAACUAGUGGGGUUGGUUAAGAGAAUCCCCUUAAAGAUCUAAGCGAAGACCUUAGGAGGGAUCUUGAGCCCCAUCUCUGUUUAGCGCUGCUAAUGAAAUGUCGAACUUUUCCAAAACUGUCAAACUUGUCAUAAGGCCAGCGGCAGCACAAUCUGGAGCAUGUGCCAUAGUCAAUUUGUUUUGUCUUCGAGCUAUUAAUUCAUUAGAAGAUGACCAGCGAUUUGGCAGCACCUUUUGUGCUUAUCAAUAUGACUGCCAGCUUGUUGAGAGAAUGCCAUUGUCGCAAUGGCCAAGUAGCUGAACGAAAAAAAUUGGACCUGAUCAGACUAAAUUAUUUUCAAAUUCCAUCCUUCGAAGAUCAGAGAACCAGUCUCGUUUCUAUGGUUUGUUUAUAUAAAGGUCUCCAUAUCCACGGCUAGAUUCACAUUUCGAUGAUGCCAACCAAGUGGAAAAAAUGGUUUAAUGGCUUGUUGUUAUGUAGUAAACUGGUUAAAGCUAAUCUCAAAGUCCCGCAAGCAAAAUUUGAGAUAAAACUGAUAUCAAAGAUCACAUGAAUUAUGUAUGGACGAUUUGGGCGCUCAUUGAAGAACAUGAAGUAACGUUUCUCAAACCUAUCCAGUACAUCUUGCUCGCUGUUAUAUUUUCUGUGAAUCAUGUUAAAAU